rnacentral:rRNA from 1 species
CCUACGGGAGGCAGCAGUGGGGAAUAUUGCACAAUGGGGGAAACCCUGAUGCAGCAACGCCGCGUGAGGGAAGACGGUUUUCGGAGUGUAAACUCCUGUUCUUAGUGAAGAAUAAUGACGGUCGCUUAGCAGCAAGCCACGGCUAACUACGUGCCAGCAGCCGCGGUAAUACGUAGGUGGCAAGCGUUGUCCGGAAUUACUGGGUGUAAAGGGGGCGCAGGCGGGAAGCCAAGUCCGGUGUUAAAACUACGGGCUUAACGUAUAGACUGCAGUUGAAACUGGUUUUCUUGAGUGGAGGAGAGGUAGGCGGAAUUCCUGGUGUAGCGGUGAAAUGCGUAGAUAUUAGGAGGAGCACCGAUGGCGAAGGCAGCCUACUGGGCUUCAACUGACGCUGAGGCUCGAAAGUGUGGGGAGCAAACAGGAUUAGAUACCCCAGUAGUC